GGGUUUACAAUGGGCGGUUGUGUAACUGUUUUCAUUCAAUAAAAGGCUGGAGUUGGAGUUGUCUGAGUUUGGGUGUAGAGCUUGCAACUCUGAGAAUCUGACCAGGCUUCCCCUGCACAAGUAAAAACCAAUCGAACUCUGAUUGUCUUACUUUGUUCUGAGUCAGCGAGGGCUGAAACCUAACUGUUGGGGACUGCUGUUUUAAUGUAUAUAGAAGAGACUGAAGUUUAUAUGUUAUGGAAUUAUUUAUAGGACUUGUUCCAAAUCUUCAUAUGUCUAUGAUGUGCUAUAUCAGCCCAUUCUCACUCCCGAGGCGUAACAUGUCGACGUUUUGUCACGUCCCGCGGCGUUCCUGAGGAACGCGAAAGGAGACCUUCGGCGUUCUUAUGGUACGCGGCGGGCUAUGGCUGGAAUCCAGUGCAAUGACGCUCCCGCGGUAAUAGACGUUCCAGCCCUGUAUUCCAGCCCUAAACCUAACCUUAUCCCUAGCCCUGACCAUAACCUUAUUCCUGACCUUAACCAGGACUUUAAUGAUGUUAAAUAGCGUGUUUCUAAGCGAUUUGAAGAAAAAGAGCAAACAUGUGUAGAUUCAGUCCAGACGGUUCUCAUAUUUCCUCUUUUUUCCGAGGUCGUCAUUUAGGAACGUGGUGGGUAGCCAAAAACGUAAUAUGGUGACGAUUUGUCACCUAGCGUAAAAUGUAACGUAAUAUGGUGACGAUUUGUCACCUAGCGUAAAAUGUUACGCUUUGGGAGUGAGAACGUGUUGGUUAUAUUGUAGUGGUUUUCUUAUGGGGAGGGUUUUGUUUUCCUUUGGUUUACUGACCCCCAGACUUGGUCUAUUCCAGAUGCUCACCUGAAUCAGGUAGAGUAUGACAGGAAGCCAUUUGCUUUUCAGAAGGGUUGGAUUCUUUGCUGUAUCACCAUGUGUUCUCAUUAAUAAAGUACAUUUUACUCCAGUCUCCUGCUAUUUUAGUGGAAGUGACCCAUGACCGUCGGCCAAAACUGACAAUAUGACUAUUAAAAGUCUGAGUAAUACUGUAAUUUUCUGCUGCUC
ensembl:lncRNA